rnacentral:rRNA from 1 species
CCCUUAGAUGUUCUGGGCCGCACGCGUGCUACACUGAUGCAUUCAACGAGUCUAAAACCUGGUCUGAUAGGGCUGGGUAAUCUUUUGAAAGUGCAUCGUGAUUGGGAUAGAUGAUUGCAAUUCUUCAUCUUCAACGAGGAAUGCCUAGUAAACGCAAGUCAUCAGCUUGCAUUGAUUACGUCCCUACCCUUUGUACACACCGCCCGUCGCUCCUACCGAUUGAAUGAUCCGAUGAAUACCAUGGAUUGAGAGUACGAAUAGGUUCGCUUAUUUCUGCUGCUCGAGAAGUGGAGUAAAUCUUAUCAUUUAGAGGAAGGAGAAGUCGUAACA